rnacentral:piRNA from 1 species
UGUAUAUUGGUUCUUAUAAUGGAUCGCAUGU